GAAGUGAAUGGAUCCGCGUUAGAUUUGUUUUGCAAAAACAAUGAGUGGAGGAAUGGAGAUGGAGAGGAAAGUGAUAGUGCAUAAGGCGUAUGCGAGGGUGGGUUUGUUAGGGAACCCAAGCGAUGUCUAUUACGGCAAAACGAUAUCGUUUAGCGUCGCUAAUUUCUGCGCCACCGUCACGCUGCGUCCCUCCGAGGACCUGAUUAUCGAGCCUCAUCCUUUCCAUGAUCUCGUCCAUUUCCAAUCUCUCUCUCAAUUGGUUAAUAGGUUGAACUCCGAGGGUUACUAUGGCGGCGUGCGAUUGCUUAUGGCUAUUUGCAGAGUGUUUUAUGCUUAUUGUAAAGAUAACGAUAUCAAACUUCACGAUGCUAAUUUCACUCUCUCUUACGACACUAAUAUCCCUCGCCAGGCUGGACUUUCCGGUUCUAGUGGGAUUGUGUGUGCUGCGUUGAACUGUUUACUCGAUUUCUACCAAGUCAGGCAUCUCAUCAAGGUCCAGCUCAGGCCCAACCUAAUCCUUGCUGCAGAGAAGGAACUUGGAAUUGUUGCUGGUCUUCAGGAUCGGGUUGCGCAAGUUUACGGUGGCCUAGUUUAUAUGGAUUUCAGUAAGGAGAACAUGGAUGAGCUAGGCCAUGGAAUUUAUGAGCCCAUGGAUUUGAGUCUCCUCCCACCUCUGCAUCUCAUCUAUGCUGCAAAUCCUAGUGAUUCUGGCAAGGUUCAUAGUAAAGUACGGCAGAGGUGGCUUGAUGGUGAUGAGUUCAUUGUGUCAUCAAUGCUUGAGGUUGCAAAUAUUGCCGGAGAAGGAAGGACUGCAUUAGAAGAGAAGGACUACUCAAAACUUGCAACUCUCAUGAAUCGAAAUUUUGACCUGCGAAGGUUAAUGUUUGGAGAUGAUGCCCUUGGUGCUAUGAACAUAGAAAUGGUAGAGGUUGCUAGAAAGGUUGGAGCUGCGUCAAAAUUUACAGGUAGCGGAGGAGCUGUUGUUGCAUUUUGUCCUGAGGGGGAUUCUCAAGCAAAGCUUCUCGAGGAUGAAUGUCACAAAGCUGGAUUUGUGAUACAACCUAUUGAACUUUUUCCUUCAUGUCUAAAUGAAAUUGACUUGGAAAUCUCGCUAAAAAAGUAAUAUAAUUUGAAGGUUGGAAAAAUAGUUGUUCUCAAAAGGAAUUAUUCCAUUUCAUUGAAGUGAUGAUAGGAAAAGCUGAUGAUUGGGUUGCCCGAUCAUGGCAGUGGAAGAAAUUCAUUUCUCUGUGAAGAAAAAUAUUUGUUGAGUGGGCAUUUUGUACUUUGGGAAUAAAAAUGGUUGGACACUGACACUUAUUUAAUUAAGUCGUAAUUUUUC